GUGGAGAAAGGGGCUGAGUCUGCGCAGGCGCACACGGGCACAUCAUCAUCACCCCCCCUUCCUCCCUCCCCUCCGGGGUGAGGCCGGGGGAGGAGGCACCGGGUCCGGACACUGAGAACCACGAGAGGCCGGGGACCGAGGCCUGACAGCGGCUGGCAGCGCGGGGAGAGGCGGUCCUGAGAGCCGGCGGCAGGAUGAUGCGGUUUAUGCUGCUGUUCAGCCGGCAGGGGAAGCUGCGCUUGCAGAAAUGGUACGUUGCCACUUCCGAGCGGGAAAAAAAGAAGCUGGUGCGAGAUUUAAUGCAGACGGUGCUCAGCCGCAAACCCAAGAUGUGCAGCUUCCUGGAGUGGAAGGAUCUUAAGGUGGUCUACAAAAGAUACGCCAGCCUGUAUUUCUGUUGUGCUGUGGAAGAUCAUGAUAAUGAGUUGCUGACCCUGGAGCUAAUCCACCGAUACGUGGAGCUGCUGGACAAAUAUUUUGGCAGCGUGUGCGAGCUAGAUAUAAUAUUUAACUUUGAGAAGGCGUAUUUCAUCCUCGACGAGUUCCUGAUGGGGGGUGAAAUCCAGGACACCUCGAAGAAGAGCGUCCUGAAAGCGAUAGAGCAAUCGGACAUGUUACAGGAGGAAGAUGAGUCACCGCGCAGCGUUCUAGAAGAGAUGGGACUGGCUUGAUGUACGGAGGACCCCCCACCACUACCAACACCACCUCUCCUUUUCUCUCCCACUCCAAUCACCAUUACAUGAGUCACCGACCCCCCCCAACAUUCCUCCUGUAGUCCCUGGUCUGCAUGACCAGCGCACGCACUGACCACUGUCUGUAGAGUGACGGGCAGAUAAUGUGAGCAGACUCCCUUGUGUGACCAGAUCACAAGAACCCCCUCUUCCCCCGGGGGGAGGAAGGGAGACCUAACUGAUGUGCAAGGUUCCUGCAGAGACACUGUGGAGCUGCAGAGACAGCGUUUACAGACAAAAUAACUAAUCUGUUUUAAUUGUUCUACGGGUCACCGGAUGCAGCAAAUGAGGUAGAAAAACACCCGUGUUUCUUCUUUAUAGACCGUGUCUCUUUAAGCGAGGAAAAAUGGUCUGCAACACAAAUCACGACGGUGAGGAUGUGGUUUGUUUAUUGGUGACUCAUUUGGAUAAUUUCAGAGGUAGGAAGGAAUCGAGUGAAUAAAAUAUGCUCUAUGAAGAUAACAAGCAAUUUGCUUGCAGGCACAUCAGACUAUGGGGGGGGUCAUUCCGAGUUGAUCGCUCGCUACGGAUUUUCGCAGCGCAGCGAUCAUGGCAGAUCGGGGCUAAUCUGCGAAUGCGCAGGCGCGUCGUACGAGUACACAGUGGUUCGUUACCCAGCGAUGGCUUCUACGACGAUUCUGUUCGCACAGCCGGUCGCAAGGAGAUUGACAGAAAGAGGGCGUUUGUGGGUGUCAACUGACUGUUUUCUGGGAGUGCUUGGAAUAACGCAGGCGUUUGCUGAGUGAGUCUCUGACGUCGAUUCCGGGAACAAAAACAUUGAAGUGAUCGCAAGGACUGAGUAAGUUCAGACCUACUCAGAAACUGCACAAAAUGUUUUUGUACCGCUCGGCUGCACAGGCGUUCGCACACUUGCAAAGCGACAAUACACUCCCCCCGUGGGCGGUGACUAUGCAUUUGCACGGCUGCUAAAAGUAGCUAGCGAGCGAUCAACUCGGAAUGAGGGCCUAUGUACUACAGUUAUUAGGAUGGAGGACUGUAAGCCCACGGUUCCUUACGUCCAGUGCUAAAGCAGGGUCCAUAGCCAGCGCGUAUGUGGAAGUGCGAAAGUUUAUUGUUCUUAUUUUUUAUUUUCCAUGAAGCGUAAGCUUUUCUUCCAAAAGGGAAACAAUGUAAACUGAUGCUGAAAUACGACAAAAGCAAUGUUUGGCACAGAGGUGGCCAUAAGUAAAUGUGUGCGUGAUUCCAAAAAGGGGGUUGUACCUUGCACCGAAGAUAAUAGUAGGUGAAAUGUGCCGUGUUCUAUUAGAAUGAUGCACAACACAAAAAAGUACAGAUGUGUCAUCUUACGUCUUUGUUGCAGUCGUACCAAACAGCCCCUGUUGGCACGCCAGUUCCCGUGAGACUGGUAGAGUUGGGUGUGUUUAAUGAUGACAUUCUGCAUGGUCGGGCAGCAGAGGGGAAGGCUUCAGCUAGCUCCACAAUUAUUGGCUCGAUUUGCCAAUAAUCUGGAGAUCGACGUGUUGUUUGGUGUAGGCGUGAGUGUUUAGGACAAACAACGAUAGAACACCCAGAAACACUUGUCUUCGUUUAUCUGAUUGGUCAGACUUGCCACAAGAUAUCGGCCAAGAGGUCCCGAUUUCAUGCAGUGUGUGGGAAUUCACGAUAAUCGGACAUAUUUUAUACAGGUUUCUUGAUUGCAUCUUGCUCCUCGUGGGUGGACGUAUGCACAAUAUCAAUGCAUGAGCCUGAAAAAAGGCAGAUCUUUUAAUACAUAUGUAUUGUGUAGGCUGCUAAUAUCAGGCAUUUCCACCACCAAAAAUAAUCAUUCUGAUUUGUCUGUUCGCUCAUAAAUCGCAUAGUGUGUAGCUAGGGUUUGGCUCAGAAUAUUUAUAGCAGCACAGAAUAUUUCAGGAUUAUUGGUUUUUGGUUUGUUUUUUGCAGAUGAUGUGGGAGUUUAUGACCCAUCCACCUGUGUAACUGUUAGGGAUAAUGGGUUAGUGUCAUGGGGGUAAAUUUACUAAGAUGGGAGUUCUAUUUAAGAUUGGAUGUUGCCCAUAGCAACCAAUCAGAUUUCAGGUAUUAUCUUCUAGAAGGUGCUAGAUAAAUGAGAAGUAGAAUCUGAUUGGUUGCUAUGGGCAACAUCACAUCUUAAAAUAGAACUUCCAUUUUAGUAAAUUUACCCCAUGGUGUGAGGAGGGGAACGGGAGCAAGUGGUCCGCCUCAGACUAGUUAGUAUAAGCAACAGGACUGGUGUCAAGCCCUUAUGGAAUUCGCUCAAGAAACCUCUAUAUGAUCAUCCAAUUUAUCCUGCCUAUAACUGAAUCAAAGCAUUGCAGCCGAGUCGUCAGGAAAAUAAACUUUUACUUUGGUCUGUC